UGCUGCUGCCAACCUCUGGUGCUUUCUGUGUGGAGUUUGCACGUCCUAUUGCCAUGCAGGUUUUCUCCGGGUGCUCCAGUUUCCUCCCUUAUCCCAAAGACAUGCAGGUGGAUAGUGUAAUAUGCAACUACAAAAUUACUCCUAGCAUGUAGGUGAGUGGUAGACUCCAGGCCGCUUUGAACAGUGUGAGGAAAAUAAAAUAGUAUUAGCAUAGGAUGAGUAUAAAUGGAUGGUCAAUGGUCAACAUGGACUCAGUAGAUCAUAGACCUUUCAGUCAGUCAGUAUGAACUUGGUGGACCAAAGAUCUGUUUCAGUUGGCCAGUGUGGACUUGAGAACUGACCAAGGGCCUGUCUCAGUUGGUCAGUGUGGACUUGAUGGACCUAGGGCUCAUUUCAGUGUUGAAUGAUUCAAUAACUCUUUAACACUACCUGCUUUGAUUGGGACCUUAAGCCAGCUGUAAUCACUGUUUUGUGACUGUUUUUCACAUCCUAUACAUAAAUCUACUUAAGAUAUUGUUGCAUAUCAUGAUGACGAGUCAGUCUGGGUAUCUGAUGACUGCACUACAAUUGACCAUCCUAUAAUGAAGUGAAUAUACUGAUGGUCAUAUUUCUGUGAUGAGUAUGAAAGCUUUGUCAUUAUGUUCAGAGUAACUCUACAAAGGCACUUUUGUGGUUUUGAUCAGGAAUGAAGAUAUGCUAAUGAGACAUGCUUACAUGCUUAUCUGUAUAAAACUAACAAAUCAAUCCAGGCAAGGAGAUUCAAGUUUUUUUUUUAAAUACCAUCGAAGAGAUUUGUACACUGAUCAACAUUAAAACAUAUACAAUUUAAAACUAAAGCACCAUUCACAAUGACCAUUAAGUUAUCACCUUCACUUGGAUAGUUGAUUCAAGUGAACAGGAAUGUAACAUAAACUGUUAAAAAUAGGGGCAGGGACUAUACUCAAAUCUGGUCACUUAAUCAGAGUUUCCAUAGGGGAACAGUAAAGCCACCUCCCAGUGACCACCUCCACUCACGGAAUAAGUAUAGGAGACCAACCAGUUGAAAGGAUAUAUAUAUAAGGUGCGAUUUGAACACAAACUUAAAAUCUUUACAGUGGUGUCACCAGUGAGGAACGCUCUCGAGAAAAUGAAGCAAGUUCUUGUGAUACUAACUUGUCUCGGUGUCCUCAUCUGGCCAGUGUUUGGAGCUCCUACUUCAAUAAAAAAGACCUGUUGUACUAAAUUCGGAAAGAGACUACCCCCUUUGAACCGGAUCACGGAAUAUGUAAUUCAGAUAAAAGAUGGACAAUGCAAAAUUGAUGCUGUGUUAUUUUUUGUCGAGGGCCAAGACAAACCCAGAUGCGCAGAUCUAGAUAAUUGGAAAGUGAAACAACUUAUGGAAGAAGUCUCCCAAAGAACGCCGUGUGGCUGAACAUGAUAUUAAUUCCCUGUGAUGGUCUACCGGCCAAAAAGAGUAUUCAAAAAUAUCAACUUUCAAUUUUAAUAUUCAACAAUUUCACAUUUUCUAUGUUUCCAAGGAAUUAGGAAAUUCAUACAUCAAAGCAAGAUUCAAAUAUUCAAACAACAUUAGUCAAAUUUGACCCACUCUGCAGUGCGGUGUUGUCCGUGUGUCUUAUUGAUUGACAUAUAUGGUUUUAUUAUGAUUGUAAAUAUGACUGGAUCGCAUGGUGCCUUGUCAAUUUAGAGUCAGAUAUUGCUCCCUCGAAUCUCUCUUUGUUCCCCUACAAUAUUCUAUACUGGUUUCCCAGAGAAAAUUAUCUCUAGUUUCAGUAGUAGAUCCUGGAGCGUCAAAUGCAACAAUGCUGCCUGUGGAGAUCCCCACACUCAGUAUUCUGAGGCUUCCCUCAUGCUAAGUUUUGCAGAGAAAUCAUUACAUGUUAUUUUUGUCACAAAUCAAUUGCCUGCUUUCCAAGAUAAUGCAAAUGUUUUUUGAUAGCUCUUGCAUUACUGAUUAAUGGAACCCCCCCCCCCCCCCUCCCCUUUCACCAUGUUUUAUAAAUUCCUGUAUUGAUGAAUGUAUAUAAUUGUCACUUAUUUUCAUAAACCAUACUAAUGGUGUUCAAUGCAAAGCACAGAAUGAUUGUUGCAUUUUUUCUACAUAUAGAGGCAGGAGAAAGAAAGCAUUCACGUUAUGUUUUUAUUUCAGAGACAUGUUGAAUAGACAUUCUUGCAUUAGAUUGUAUGGAGGGAUCAAAACUGAUAUAUUUUCAAGGCAGGAUACGCAAUAACCCCAGAAUUUGCACUAUAAUUCCCAAUGAACCGGAUACUGAUUUUUAAAUUGUUAUUCAAUGCUGCACUUUUAUGAAUGCGUGUAUGUUAUCCUGCAAACCUGGUUCUCCUCAUUAAAAAGAUGACGCAUUUUUAUAUAUUAUUUUGUUUGUAAUUUCCCUGAUCCUGUUUUCACGCUUCUAAGAAAUAAAUAUUUAUAAUAUUUUAAAAUAUAUUGUCACUGCGAUCUAUUAUAAGCUCAACACAAACUUGGAAUUUACUUGCUCCUUAAAUUUUCAUGAAUCCAUUCUGCUGAAACAAUAAAAUUGAUUAUGCUGAAAUAAUAAAAUUGAACAAUUUGAAAUCCUUAUUACUGACUUGAUUCGUAAUAAUUGUACCUUGCAUUCCACCAAUUUUUGAACUCAAGCUAGCAUUGUGCCUGGAUUCUAUGUGAUAAUUAAACAAUCCUGUUGAAUGGGAAUUUAUAUUAAAUGUAAUUUUGUGGAAGGCAAUCUGUUUGCUUGCACACAUCUUUAGUUUAACGUAUUUUAGUUUAUAGAUACAGCGCAGAAACACGUCCUUCGGCCCACCGAGUCCACGCCGAACAGCAAUCCCAGCGCAGUUAAACCCCUGUCUCAUGGUGCGAGUCCACCCACGAGUGAUCCAGAGUUAAAAACAAAUCAAACUCGUGGUAAUCACGUAGAAUUAACGUAGCAGGAACGUCGGGGCUCGUGGACGUAACUUUGCGACUCGUAACGCUAACGGCAGGUACUGGGGAAACUUGUUAACUCGUGAACAUUUUUCAACAUGUUUACUCUUGAAGGAAAAAUUUGAAACUUUUAAACUCGUUGUAAUACCGUAGUAGCCCGUGAGUUUACCGUAGUAGCCCGUGAGUUUACUGUAGUAGCCCGUGAGUUUACCAUAUUAACCCGUGGCUACUAUCUGUAUGUUUAUGUUGUUUUUUGCCUGUUUGAGCAUGUUUUCGUUUCUUUUGGAUACUCCCACAUUUUCUAAUGGUUAUAGUGUUGAAAAGCUUUUUACAAAUCCGUUUGAUUCUCACUGUUUACUUCUGUGCACAAUAAAAGAGAGUUCUUUGUUAUCAAAAUCAAAUUGAUGUCUGCAAGUCUUCAAUUUAAUAUAAUUCCAAAGUCUCAUGACUUGAAUGUAAUAUUCCUUUCAUCAUAAAACACAAAAUAGAGGAAGUGAUACAAUCUAUUCACAUCUUGAUUCUCACAAUCAUUUGUGAGAGUGGAGGACUCAGGUGCCUCAUGUGCUGUGCUUUUUAAAUGUAAAACAGUUUAACCUCUCAGUAGAUCGGAAAAUAAGACAAUCAGCACAGUGAAUGGGAAACAAAGUCUUUAUUCAUCUUGUUCAAUAAAUAAAGCACAUUUUUGCACCAUGGGAAAAGGAGCACCACAGCAAACAGCAUAGUGGUUUGAAAAAGGGCUUCUCAUACAUGUCAAUUAACAAAUAAAACACAAAGAAGUAUAUCCAGUAUUUCCUCUCAUUCAGCUGUGAAAUGUAGCACAUGCCUAAAUUCUGGCAAUAAAACAGACAAUGCAAUGCACUCAAUGGCUAUGUUGUGAGAUCUACCUACACUAAUCAGACAAGCAGAUGCAUGAUAAUCACUGCUUCAAGAACAGACAGAUGCUAUGAAAUUAUUUACACUACAAUGAAAAUAUAAAUCCACACUUAAAGUUAAAUCAAACAAAGUCAGCAGGAUUUAAACUGAACAUGACAUUUACAGACAGUUUCAGUCUGAAGAAGGGUUUCGGCCCGAAACGUUGCCUAUUUCCUUCGCUCCAUAGAUGCUGCUGCACCCGCUGAGUUUCUCCAGCAUUUUUGUGUACCUAUGACAUUUACUGAAUUUGUUUGCAAGUGGGCUCUUCUCAUGCAGUGGUGUACCUGUUGGCGGCUGUCCCUCAAAGUAAGCUAUCCAGCCACGGCACACUGCCCAAUAUUGAAUCGUGGUAUGAGCAGAGAUGGUCUCUCUGCUCUUUUGCACUCUUAAGGUUGUUUGAUCCAUUGCAAUUGUUCUCAUCUCUGGUUUACGGAGAGUGCAUUGAACCAGGUUAAAAUGGAUUAUGACUUUGAGUGUGUUUUAGUCAGUUUUGUGUGGCAGCUGUCUGUUUUAAUCAGCAUUGUCUGCAGCCCAUCGUUAAAAUGCAUCAGUCUUGGAGUCAAUUCUCCUCAACUGCUUGGCGUUAAUGGAGAGCUCCCAAAGCAGAAGGCGUCCCGAUAUAAAUAAUGACACGUUUCACUUAACUAAACACAAGACCGGACGGCAAACACACAUCAUAAGUUAAACUCUGUGCCCGGUUGGAGAGUGGGGAUGGUGGAAGAGGAGACAGUUCACAUACACCAGCGUCAAAUACAGUCCCAAGAAUUCAUACAGCUACGCAGUAGGGGAAAAAAAGUGGACAAAAAAUAUAUUCCGCUCCAGACAUGAAUGCCAAAAAAUACUGAUAAAUAAAUAAAUGAUUUUAAAUAUCCAGCUGAUAUUUACAGUGUGAAAGUUUUAACAUAUAGGUCAAAUAAGAAAAUGGUCCAAAGACGUGGGUAGGUUAAUGGGCUUGGUGUAAAUGUCAAUGUGCACGGAUCGCUGGUCGGUACGGAUUCGUUGGGCCGAAGGGCCUGUUUCCGCGUUGUAUCUGUAAAACUAAAAACUAAAUAGGGAAGAUGAAGGACAGUGGGGAAAUAGGCCCAGAAAUGUCAGUAGUGUGAAGAAGGGUCUGGACCCGAAACGUGGGGGACAAUAAAUAGGAAGAGCGGCGUGCUUUGUAACUUUGUCAGUUCCGUAGGUGACUGCUAUUCGUAUACAUUGUGUAUGCAAGCAAAUAAUUUCACCGUGCCUUGUCACAUGUGACAAUAAAUUAUUCCUAUUCCUAUUAAUACUCCAGAGAUGCUGCCUGAGUAAAAUCCCUGUCUCACGGUGCGUAUCCACCCACGAGUGAUCCCAAGUUAAAAACAAAUCAAACUUGUGGUAAUCAUGUAGAAUUAACGUAGCGGGAACGUCGGAACUCGGGGGCGUAACUUAGCGACUCAUAACGGUAAUGGCAGGUACUCGGGAAACUUGUUAACUCGUGAACAUUUUUCAACGUGUUGAAAGAUUUCCACGAGUCAAAUUUACUCCUGAAGAAAAAAUGUGAAACGUUUAAACUCGUUGUAAUACUGUAGUAGCCCGUGGGUUUACCGAAGUGAGUCGUGAGUAACUCGUGGGUUUGGCCUGAGUGCCGGAAGUGAAAUGUUGAAGAUUAGACAUCUCCGGCGAACUUGGAUAGGUGACGUUUCGGGUCGGGACCCUUCUUCAAACUUUAGACCCUUCUUUCACCUGAAACGUCACCUGUCCAUGUUCUCCACAGAUACUGCCUGACACGUUGAGUUACUCCAGCACUUUGUUAUUUUUUUCGUAAACCAGCUUCUGUAGUUCCUUGUGUUCCAAAAUGUAAUGCUUUAUAAAUGUCCAGAGAUGCUGCCUGUCCCACGGAGUUACUCCAGCACUUUGCGUCUGUCUGCCGGGAGACCUCGUUUGCAGCGCAAUGUGACAUCUACCGAGCAUACAUUGCCAACUGGUGUUUUGGCAGCAGCAACAUAAUCUCCCGGUUAGUACACUCAGUGUUGCUGAGGCCUAGUUUAUGUAGAGACAGGAAACUGCAGAUGCUGGAAUCAUGAUCAUAAAACACACACAAAGUGUUGGAGGAACUCACACAGCACUGGAGCAAUUCAGCGGGACAGGCAGCAUCAGCGGAGGGAAUGGACAGACAUUGAUUCGACUCGAAAAGAAGGGACAUGACCCGAAACAUUGCCUAUCCAUUCCCUCUGGCUUACUUCGACACUUUGUGAGUUCAUGUCAUAGGAGCAGAAUUAGGCCAUUCGGCCCAUCGAGUUGCUCCAACACUUUGUGUUUCGCUCAACAUGCCAGCAUCUGUGGUCCCCGGUGUCUCCAUUUGCCAGCUGGAAGAACUCAGCGGAUCAUGGAGCUUGAAGACGGACCACCCUGACCCGAAACCUCGCCUGCCCAUUUCCUUCCACCAAUUUCAUGUAGUCACUUUUCGAUAAAACCCCACCGCCCCAGUUAUUCCAAGUCCAUUUAAUUCCGCGUGUCUCCAUUUCAUUCAUUAAGUCGCCGGUACUGUUACAUUGUUCGUUUUCGGUCAAUACAACAGAACAGUCUGAAGAAGGGCAAUGAUAGACGCAAAAAGCUGGAGUAACUCAGCGGCACAGGCAGCAUCUCUGGAGAGAAGGAAUGGGUGACGUUUCGGGUCAAGACUCUUCGACAGACUGGUAAGGGAAGCGAGAGAUGUAGAUGAUGAUG